UGUGUAUGAGUCUACUUCUCAGGUAAUCAUCUGAAAUCGAUAAGCAGGUCCGGCGUUGGUUGUUGGCACCUUGAUCUCCGUCUUCUCGACGCUGGCAGCUGCGGCCACGGUGGUCAGUGGCCUAGAUCUAUCCAACUUCGUACUCAAUGCAGAUACCAACAACCAUCUCGCAGUUGGACUACUCCAGAGUCUCCAGCACCUUUCUCACACAAAAUUCCAUUAACAACCAUCUCGCAGUCGGACUACUACAGUUGAAUCCACAAGUUUCCUUAAUACAGGAAGAAAUUGACUUACUGACUUUAACUGCUCAUGUUCCUUGUAUUCCUACCUAUGCCUUCAUGUGUGUUACAACUGCCAUCCUUUUCAACUAUUCCUUUCAAGUUCAUACCCUUAAUGCCUACCUGCGCGGCCCGUGGAACCAAACUUUCUCAAUUUUACUGCACAAUUGGCUAAUCAAAUUCUAACCAUUAACAACAUCCGUGCUUCAGUACAAAAUCCUUGGGGGAAGCAAUAUCACUCCUAGGUACAAUCCUCUUCUGCCUGGAAAUCAUUUUCUACAUCCUGUGGUGCCAGUGGAAUAGACGUGGUGCCAGUGGAAUAGACGAAAAAUCUGCAAGUAGCUCUCCAAAACGUGUGCUAUUCUCCAUUACAGCCCACUGAAAAUCCCAGGGUGUGGAUAAACACUGCCCUUGACCACCUGUAGGCCAAUGACGGGUAAGAUGGUGGUGUACCCGUAGCAACCUAAGACAGCUCCACUACCUUACCUAGGAUCCUGGUAGUGGGUGGCUAUGACGGGUAAGCAUGUGAGUACGACUGCCACAACCUAAGACAGGCCCAGUGUGUGUCCCCCCCAUCAAUAAAGUAAAAACGGGGGAGAUGUCAGUACCAGGCUUACACCAGCAGGGGGACCUGGGGUGGUGGUCGCUUCCGCCCAAAGAUGAGUCACUUCCGCCCAAAGCGGAGGCUGAUGCAACAGUAACCGGAUGUUGCAAAUCCACGUAAAGUGCAUGCGCAGGCUUUCCGAUAUAUAGCCCCUCCCCUAAAAUAAAGAGAGUUCCUGCAGCCAUCCAUAUUCCUUGGAGAAGUGCUACCCCAAGCAGAUAUUACAGUUGAUCUGAAGGCUAGAAGAAAUAUAUAACAGAUGGAUGAAGAGGUAGAAAAGAAAUAGAAAAGAAAGAUAAAAUUCCAUAAAUAGAAGACAAUAAACAUAAGAUCAGGAGAAAGAACAAACCAGAGAAAGUGUUGGCUACAGUCACUUAGGUUACAAAAAGCUCUACACAUUAGAAGACACUAUCAGCAACCUUCAGUGGAGAGAAGGUGCCUAGGGGCAGCAGUGGACCAAGGACAUGGGUGUUGAGUGGAAAUUACACACAACCUACAAUCCCAAGGCUAUGGGAUCACAGAGUGCUACAAUGGCCUGCUGACACAAGGACUCAAGAGCUAGAACCCCCACCUCAGCGUUGGCCGGUGGAGCUGACUCCUAUGGAAAGUGGUGCAGACACCUGGAACAUUUAAUAAACCUUAAAUCACAUGGCAGAUCUUUUUCUGAAUACCAAUUAUAAAGGGUUUUAUGCAUCUUGAAUAAGGGAGUUUGAAAAUAAGCUCGAUCCUUAAUUUCAAACAUUCAUGCUAUGAAUUGUUAUUUAUAAUUGCAUGUGUAUAAUUUACUUGAUCCUUUGCUCAUGGUACACACAUCAAUUUUAUGCCUUUCUAUUUUUGUUGAAUGUUUUAUUGAUAUGCAUUAUUUAUAUUUAUAAUCUUAAUCUUCAAAUGUUUUAAUUUUAAUGGUGACUUGCAAAUGUAGUCAGCAAGCAAUGGUAAAAG